rnacentral:lncRNA from 1 species
GAGGCCAAGGGACCCAGCCAAGGAGGGGGCGGCCGGCGGGAGGGUCCGGAACGCGCGGCCUCGCCCCGUCGCCGUCCGGGCCCAGCUGAGGAAAACGCUGGACAGGCCGACUUGGGAGUCCCUUGGGAGGCGCCUUCCUCCACCCCGCUAAGGUCAGAGGCUCCCACUGUCCUCUAUCGUUUUCCUAUUUGUCCCCACCCCUGAACGCAGCACAUCCUUGUUGGAGAUCCUUAAGCGGCCAGAAGCCCAAGACCUGAAGCCCACACUCCAAGCGUGGUGUCACAGCCUGCUGGCCCUCGAUUUACCCUCCACCCCUUGCAUUGGGCAGCUCUGACUAUCCACCUCUGUAAGAGCCUGCAAGCCCCCACAGGUGCUCCCUACAAAGCCUUAAAUUUGGCCAGCCGUGUGGUUACUGUGAUCUGCCAUGAGCAAAGGUCAGAGGGACCAGAUUUCAGCAGAGACCAACAACACAACUAUCAUCAAAGUCCAGACUCUACUGGGAGGAGACAAGCCAGCUCCCAUAUUGCCAUCUGGACCAACCUGUGGCUCCUGAUUUUUCUGCCUCAGGUGAGAACCAGAAAAAAAAGCAGAGCUUGGGGCUGGGUAGGGGGAAUAUGCCAGAGCAGGG